GUAGGGUGCAAGCGUUAAUCGGAAUUACUGGGCGUAAAGCGUGCGCAGGCGGUUUUGUAAGUCUGAUGUGAAAUCCCCGGGCUCAACCUGGGAAUUGCAUUGGAGACUGCAAGGCUAGAAUCUGGCAGAGGGGGUAGAAUUCCACGUGUAGCAGUGAAAUGCGUAGAUAUGUGGAGGAACACCGAUGGCGAAGGCAGCCCCUGGGUCAAGAUUGACGCUCAUGCACGAAGGCGUGGGGAGCAAACAGGAUUAGAUACCCUGGUAGUCCACGCCCUAAACGAUGUCUACUAGUUGUCGGGUCUUAAUUGACUUGGUAACGCAGCUAACGCGUGAAGUAGACCGCCUGGGGAGUACGGUCGCAAGAUUA
rnacentral:rRNA from 1 species